rnacentral:rRNA from 1 species
ACGGAGGGUGCAAGCGUUAAUCGGAAUUACUGGGCGUAAAGCGCACGCAGGCGGUUUGUUAAGUCACAUGUGAAAUCACCGGGCUCAACCCGCGAACUACAGCUCAUAAUCGCAAGCUUGAGUGUCGUAGAGGGGGGUAGAAUUACAGGUGUAGCCGUGAAAUGCGAAAACAUCUGGACGACCCCUGCUGGCGAAGGCGGUAUACUGGAAGAAGAAUGAAGCUGAGGUGGGACAGCGUGGGAAGCAACCAG